UUCGCAAUGCCCGAAAGGGUGACGAAGCGACGCCGCGUGAGCGAAGAAGGCCCUAGGGUUGUAAAGCUCUGUCGAGGGUUAUGAAAUAUAGAUGGGUUAAUACCCCAUUUAUUUGACAAAAGCCCAAAAGGAAGCCACGGCUAACUCUGUGCCAGCAGCCGCGGUAAUACAGAGGUGGCGAGCGUUGUUCGGUAUUAUUGGGCGUAAAGAGCACGUAGGUGGUUUUGUAAGUCAGGUGUGAAAGCCUUCUGUUCAAAGGAAGAACGGCAUCUGAAACUGCAGAUCUUGAGUGUAGGAGGGGAGAGUGGAACUUCUGGUGGAGCGGUGAAAUGCGUAGAUAUCAGAAGGAACGUCGGCGGCGAAAGCGACUCUCUGGCCUAUUACUGACACUGAGGUGCGAAAGUUAGGGGAGCAAACGGGAUUAGAUACCCCGGUAGUCCUAGCCGUAAACGAUGGGCACUAAGUAGAGGGGUUUU
rnacentral:rRNA from 1 species